CCAACAAUAAUCUAAAACACCAAUGAGUGCCUAGAUCAUCCUCCUCUCCUCGCCAUGAUUCCACGGAUCACACUUUGCUUUUACCUGCAUCAAAGAAAGAGAUGCAUAAGUAUUUCAUAAAUACUUAGUGAGGGCGAUCCUCCCAUCUACGAGCUAUACACACAAGCAAUGAGAUAACACCCACAUAUAUAACAAAAACAAACCAUCCAGCAAGCUAAACAUCCAAUAACACAUCCAGUUCACCUACAAAUCAUCA
rnacentral:lncRNA from 1 species